CAAUAGCGUAUAUUAAAGUUGUUGCAGUUAAAAAGCUCGUAGUUGAAUUUUUGCUUGCCGCCGAUGUCGGAACUUCCGUACGUUCGGCGGCGUGCAUCCUUGGGUGGAACCUGUGUGGCAUUAGGUUGUCGUGCAGGGGAUGCUCAUCGUUUACUGUGAAAAAAUUAGAGUGUUCAAAGCAGGCUUACGCCGUUGAAUAUAUUAGCAUGGAAUAAUAAGAUAGGACCUUGGUACUAUUUUGUUGGUUUGCGCACCGAGGUAAUGAUUAACAGGGACAGUUGGGGGUAUUCGUAUUCCAUUGUCAGAGGUGAAAUUCUUGGAUUUCUGGAAGACGAACUACUGCGAAAGCACUUACCAAGGAUGUUUUCAUUAA
rnacentral:rRNA from 1 species